CGGGUGAGGAAUACAUCGGAAUCUGCCUUGUUGUGGGGGAUAACGUAGGGAAACUUACGCUAAUACCGCAUAAGACCUCAGGGUGAAAGCGGAGGACCUUCGGGCUUCGCGCGACAAGAUGAGCCGAUGUCGGAUUAGCUAGUUGGCGGGGUAAAGGCCCACCAAGGCGACGAUCCGUAGCUGGUCUGAGAGGAUGAUCAGCCACACUGGAACUGAGACACGGUCCAG
rnacentral:rRNA from 1 species